rnacentral:rRNA from 1 species
AGAGUUUGAUCCUGGCUCAGAACGAACGCUGGCGGCGUGGAUAAGACAUGCAAGUCGAGCGCUGAUUUCAAGGUAGCAAUAUUUUGAAGUCGGAGCGGCGCAAGGGUGCGUAACACGUGGGUAAUCUGCCAUGAAGUUUGGGAUAACUCGCUGAAAGGCGAGCUAAUACCGGAUGUGAAAAUUGGAAGGCAUCUUUUGAUUUUCAAAGCUGGGGACCGUAAGGCCUGGCGCUUCUUGAUGAGCCCGCGGCCUAUCAGCUAGUUGGUGAGGUAACGGCUCACCAAGGCUAAGACGGGUAGCUGGUCUGAGAGGACGACCAGCCACACUGGAACUGAGACACGGUCCAGACACCUACGGGUGGCAGCAGUCGAGAAUUUUUCACAAUGGGCGCAAGCCUGAUGGAGCGACGCCGCGUGGGGGAUGAAUGGCUUCGGCCCGUAAACCCCUGUCAUUUGCGAUCAAACCUUAUUAUUUAAAAGAUGAUAAGCUGAUAGUAGCGAAAGAGGAAGGGACGGCUAACUCUGUGCCAGCAGCCGCGGUAAUACAGAGGUCCCGAGCGUUGUUCGGAUUCACUGGGCGUAAAGGGUGCGUAGGUGGUGAGGUAAGUCGGAUGUGAAAUCUCGGAGCUUAACUCCGAAACUGCAUUGGAAACUACCUUGCUCGAGGGUUGGAGGGGGGACUGGAAUUCUCGGUGUAGCAGUGAAAUGCGUAGAUAUCGAGAGGAACACCAGUGGCGAAGGCGAGUCCCUGGACAACUCCUGACACUGAGGCACGAAAGCUAGGGGAGCAAACAGGAUUAGAUACCCCCGUAGUCC